AAAUGUGCUCAAGUGAGGAAGGCUAUUCUUAUUGUAGGAGAAAGGAUGGCCAGACCAUUCUACAUUGUGCAAUAUUUGGGGAGGAUUUUGAGUUGGCGCUUCAGAUAAUUUCCUUGUACAAGGGACAACUUGUCAAUCUUGUUGACGAGGAUGGAAUUUCCCCUCUCUAUACUUUAGCAAGCAAGCCUUCUUGCUUCAGAAGUGGUACCAAUUAUGGACGAUGGGGCAAUAUCUUUUAUAAUUGUAUUUACGUAGACCACCCCAAGAUGAAAUCACUGGAUGCAAAAGAUACUGAAAACUACAGUUAUCCUGA